CUAAGCACGCGCAGCACACCUGCGCUGCCGCUUGUCCCACUUUUAAAACGGUGUAUUUGGUCUUUGGAUGACGUGUCCGCAACAAAAGAAGCUCUACUCUUUUGUCAAGGGCAAAAGUGUAGCAUGUACCCCCUUCUACACAACAUGGCAGCUUCUUUAGAAAUUGAACUAAAUUUCACUAAAACUACUGGAGCUCAAGCGCACAACAGGACAGUGAACAUAAAUCGACAUGGGUAAUAACGUCGCGGCAUCUCAACGUUGCAUCAGGAAAGAUUUCAAAGACUUCCGAGCUCUCAGAGAGGAGGGGUGCGUCACUUGAGUGGGUUGAGUCACUGACGGGAUCUUCUUGUCUGGGUUGGCGCCCCCCCUUGGGUUGUGCCGUGGCGGAGAUCUUUGUGGGCUAUACUCGGCCUUGUCUCAGGAUGGACCUGAGCCCUAGGACCAUGCCUCAGGACUACCUAGCCUGAUGACUCCUUGCUGUCCCCAGUCCACCUGUCCAUGCUGCUGCUCCAGUUUCAACUGUUCUGCCUGCGGCUAUGGAACCCUGACCUGUUCACCAGACAUGCUACCUGACAGCAGGAUCGGUAGAGAUAAUCUGAAUGAUCGGCUAUGAAAAGUCAACUGACAUUUACUCCUGAGGUGCUGACCUGUUGCACCCUCGACAACCAAUGUGAUUAUUAUUAUUUGACCCUGCUGGUCAUCUAUGAACAUUUGAACAUCUUGGCCAUGUUCUGUUAUAAUCUCCAUCCGGCACAGCCAGAAGAGGACUGGCCACCCCUCAUAGCCUGGUUCCUCUCUAGUUUUCUUCCUAGGUUCUGGCCUUUCUAGGGAGUUUUUCCUAGCCACCGUGCUUCUACACCUGCAUUGCUUGCUGUUUGGGGUUUUAGGCUGAGUUUCUCUAUAGCACUUUGAGAUAUCAGCUGAUGUAAUAAGGGCUUUAUAAAUACAUUUGAUUUGAUUUGACCAUCGUUUCUGUCUCUCUUAUGGAUAUGAAUAUGUGUGUGAUUUGUCCCUGUGUUUCUCUGUCUGUUUCUCUCUCUCUCUCUCUCUCUCUCUCUCUCUCUCUGUCUGUCAGUCUGUCUCUCUGUCUCUCACUCCCUCUCACUUUCUCCCUCCCGCUCGCUCUCUCUCUUGCUCUCUCUCACUCUCUCUGCACGAAUAGAAUGCAUUAUUCAUUUAUUCAUCCACAUGUAUUCAGGCAUUGCAUAAACGGCUCAAUGAUCAAACACAUGCCGUGUGUCAUAGACCAGGCUCUGCACAAUGUGCCCAGAACAGGUCAUGCAGACGAGAACGGCAUGAAGCCAUAUUAGUCAUAAUAUGUAUUUUACCCAGACCACAAGUUUGUUUGGCUUACAGGAAAGAACAUUGAAACAAUUGACGGCAUGAUUUUAAUGAUGUGUUUUGUUAUUCAGUAACACUAUGGGGUGGAUGGGUUCAGUGUAGGACAUAAGCUGCAUUUUUUGUUGUUGUGUGAUUUGUUCGCUUGAUCAGUCUGCAGAGGCACCUUACAAGAGGGUUGUGUGUGUGUGUGUGUGUGUGUGUUAGUGUGUGUGUGUGUGUGUGUGUGUGUGUGUGUGUGUGUGUGUGUGUGUGUGUGUGUGUGUGUGUGUGUGUGUGUGUGUGUGUGUGUGAACUCUUGUAAGGCUACAUCAAAGCUAAAAACAGAAAAACUUGCAUGUUGUCAGUUGCUUACCAACAACCAGAGAGACAGUCUUGCCUCGGGGGUGGAUGGCAGUGUUGUGGUCAAAAACAUACAGUCCCCUGUGUGAGUAAGUCUAAAAUCUCUCUCUCUCUUUCUCUCUCAGACUCUCUCUCUCUCUCUCUCUCCCUCUCUUUCUGUCUCCUCUCUCUUUCACUUACACAUAUCCCCAGCCUUAGGGAGAGAGUAGGCCAAUGCGUGGGAGGACCAUAGCGAGAGCUGUCACACACAAACACAGUCAUAGAGUUAGUCUAAAGUCAAAAUAGAAAUGAAAUAAACACUAGUAUGUGAACAGACAACAUAGAUUUAUGCAUAUGUCAACACUUGACUAAUCACCUGAUGCUGGUAAAAUGGUACCAAACAUUCACUCCAUGGUCAGCUGUCAGCAUUGAGUCUCUAUAGCAGAAAUGUUUGUUGAAAUGUGAAAAGAAAAUAAAUGUAAUUCAUUGAUUUGUAAAAUAUAUAACUCGACUGAUCUAUCGAGAUCUUCUUUCUCGCAGUGAAACUCCCCUCAGUAUCACCAUAAGUCUCUUUAAGCCUGGCCGGCAUGCUAAAUACCUCUCUCUCUCUCUCACACACACACACACACACUACUGUAACCCUACUGUAACUCUCUCAUGGCCAUGCUGUGUGGGUGACAGAUGGCAGUAGAGAUGAAAACUCCCUGAAUAAAUAUGUAAUCCACUGCUCACAUGGGCCACGGCAGAUUAUCAGAAACACUACAGCAUGGGGCUCAGUGGUGAGAGAGAGAGCGAGCAAAAGAGAGAGAGCAACAGAGAGAGAGCAAAAAAGAGAGAGCAAAAGAGAGAGAGAGAGAGAGAGAAAGAGAGAGAGAGAGAGCAAAAGAGA
rnacentral:lncRNA from 1 species